rnacentral:rRNA from 1 species
UAUCAGUUUCGUUUAUUUGAUAGUACCUUACUACAUGGAUAACCGUGGUAAUUCUAGAGCUAAUACAUGCUAAAAACCUCGACUUCGGAAGGGGUGUAUUUAUUAGAUAAAAAACCAAUGCCCUUCGGGGCUCCUUGGUGAAUCAUAAUAACUUAACGAAUCGCAUGGCCUUGCGCCGGCGAUGGUUCAUUCAAAUUUCUGCCCUAUCAACUUUCGAUGGUAGGAUAGUGGCCUACCAUGGUAUCAACGGGUAACGGGGAAUUAGGGUUCGACUCCGGAGAGGGAGCCUGAGAAACGGCUACCACAUCCAAGGAAGGCAGCAGGCGCGCAAAUUACCCAAUCCCGACACGGGGAGGUAGUGACAAUAAAUACUGAUACAGGGCUCUUUUGGGUCUUGUAAUUGGAAUGAGUACAAUUUAAAUCCCUUAACGAGGAACAAUUGGAGGGCAAGUCUGGUGCCAGCAGCCGCGGUAAUUCCAGCUCCAAUAGCGUAUAUUAAAGUUGUUGCAGUUAAAAAGCUCGUAGUUGAACCUUGGGCCUGGCUGGCCGGUCCGCCUCACCGCGUGUACUGGUCCGGCCGGGCCUUUCCUUCUGGGGAACCUCAUGCCCUUCACUGGGCGUGUUGGGGAACCAGGACUUUUACUUUGAAAAAAUUAGAGUGUUCAAAGCAGGCCUUUGCUCGAAUACAUUAGCAUGGAAUAAUAGAAUAGGACGUGUGGUUCUAUUUUGUUGGUUUCUAGGACCGCCGUAAUGAUUAAUAGGGAUAGUCGGGGGCAUCAGUAUUCAAUCGUCAGAGGUGAAAUUCUUGGAUUGAUUGAAGACUAACUACUGCGAAAGCAUUUGCCAAGGAUGUUUUCAUUAAUCAGUGAACG